rnacentral:lncRNA from 1 species
UGGGCUGUCUCUGAGUCUGGCUUUAUCAGGUUUUUCCUGCUAACUAUAGUGAGUUGUCUCCCCCUGGUUUUUGUUUUCACGUUUAGUUUUUGAACUCGUGUGUGUAAACACAUGCGUGCCAUGUGAAGGUUAGAGGACGGCUUGUUGGCAGUUGUCUCCACUGAGAGGAUUCUGAGAUUGACGUGAGGUCACCAUGCCUGUCUUUACUACCGGGCUGUUUAGUUGCCCUGUUGUUUUGUGUGUGUGUCACCCAAGUUUAGAGUAAAUGGCAGACGCUGAUGGAACAGUAGAAGUGAAGUAAAAACUUGUGUGUAGGCAUGGACGCCAUGGACACGGUUGUGUUGGGUUAGUGAUGUGAGGUGUGAGGUGAGCCUGGCUUGUUUGUCUUGUGUUGUUCUUGUCUUGAUGGGUCACGGGCUUCUGGGAAGGCCUUGCUCAUAGGACGGGGCUCCUUGUUUCUUGUUCCAGUCUCUAAAGUCCCCUCAAUGUAACUCCUUUAGAAAAAGUUUUUAGAGGUGAGAGUGGUAGUGUACUCACAUAUAUUACAUAAGUAAAUAAAUUAAAAAAAAUUUUUAGUUUUAUUUCAUUUUUAGAAUUCUGUGUCUCUGUGAGUUUAUGCUGUCGGUAUAGGUGCCUGCAGCGGGCCAGAAAAGGGUGUUGGAUUAUUACAGGUGGCUGUGAGCUGUCGGAUGUGGAUGCUGGGAACCAAAUGCUAGGCUUCUGGAAGAGCAGUGAGAGCCCCGCCCACUGAGCCAUUCUGUGCUCUCUUCUGUAGACACCGUUCACCCGAGUCUUCCCAUGUUCCUGCCCCUUGUUUUGGAGCUGCUUAAUGGUACUGUUGGUGUUUGCUCAUGCCUUCUAGCGUGGAAGACUUCUUUCUGCUUGCUUUACCAGUGUGGUUUUGUAGUCUCCCUCACAGGAUGAGAGUGGCAGGUCUUAUUAUCCUCAAAAUGACAGAUUUUUUUUUUUUAAGUUCAUUGUUUUUGUGUGUCUGUGUGCGUCUGUGUGUGUCUGUGUGUAGGCCCUAGUGUCUUUGUGCAGGUGCCCAAGGAUGCCAGAAGAGGGUUUUGGGUCCUGUGGUGCUAGCUACAGGCAGUUGUGAGCCUCCUCUCCUCGGUGCUGGGAGCAGCUCUUGGGUUCUCUGGAAGAGCGAGCAGCACACGCUCUCAGCCACUGGGCCAGCGCUUCAGUCUGCUGCACUUGGCUUUUCAGGGAGAAAAGCCUCGUCGCCCUGUCUCUAGGAAGCGCCUAGGUGGGCUUUGUACCCACUCGUUGGCAGGUGACUUCCUGCACACGCGUUUCACCUGACAGGAUCCUCUCCCGUCUUUGCUGUGCACCAUGUUGUUCAUAAGUACCCCGAAGAACCUGGGAACGAGCUGGCAAGUGGGGAUGGACUGUCUAGGGCAUCUGUUUGGGAGACUUGAGCCUGCAGUUUUAAGAAUCAUUGAAUUAUGGCCAGGUGUGGUGGCACACACCUUUAAUCCUAGCACUUGGGAGACAGAGGCAGGUGGUUCUCUGAGUUAGAGGCCAGCCUGGUCUAUGUAGUGAGUUCCAGGCUAGCCAUAUAUGGUUAAACUCUGUCAUCUCCCUCUACCUCCUUCUCCACUCCUACCCCACCCCCACCCCCCC